CAUCUAAUUGGAAGUGGAAUGAAGAUAAUGCGCUUUACUCUUUCAUUUGUAGCUGGAUUACCCCUGGGCUAACUUAACUUGAAUCUGUUCUCUUUAGUUUUUCACUAAGCCUCAUCUGAGUGCUAUAUACAUAGCUCCUUGAUUACUUAUCAAAUAAAAUGAACAUUCUUUAAGAACUUUUUCUCCCGAUCUUAUUAGCUUAGUAGCAUGGAAGUCACAAUAGUUCUAGCAGAGUAAGCUAGAAGAUGACCAAUCCCGCCCCAUUGGUGUCGAGUCCGUUGUGAGAGGCGCUUAAAAGGCCGUUAAGGCAUUAGACUCAGGGGUGAACCCACAGGGGAGGGGAGAGGUUGCUUCCUAAAAAGAACUGGGGUUGGCUCCUUGCCUUUGAUUCCUUACCCAUAGCAUAAGAUAAAGAAAGGGUGCGUGCUUCAACAUCUAAGUUUCACACAAGGAACCUCCUGCUCUUAAGGAUAAACUACGAUAUUUGAUGGACUGGCAGGUCAGCCACGUAAUUUAUCCCUCAAGCUGAACGAACUUGACCUGCUCCUUUAGUUUAGGGCUAUAGAGUUUACUUGCUUCUCACUAACGGCAGAAUCAUGAGCUUCAUCACUCGACUCUAAACCAAAUUAAAAACACUCGGCUAUAGGAUGACAAUCCUUCACUCCGGAAGGGUAGGUUCCAUACCGACAAGACCUCCUAUCCCAGAAUCCGCUCAUUUCACACCAACUAAAGCGGAACUUAAUCACCAAGGUAGAGUUGUAUAAAGCCCUAAUGUAACUGAACGAAGUGGAAAACCCGCAAUACGAGAGCAAAAACCUUCUGUGUCUAAGAAGAAAAGCAACAUCGAGUUAGGUAGGAUGUAGAUCGAGCGCAAUAAGCUAGAGGAGUGAUUAUUUCGCUUUGGAAGGAAAAAAGCAUCUCAAAUAAGGUCCUCACUCAGCUCUCAGGCUGUCUGGGAAUAGCUCCACCAGACAUAGAAGAAAGGAGUGUAGGAUUGGUAAGCUUUGCCGGAAAGAAGCUAGUCGACUAAUUCAGGAGGCUACUACCGGCGAAGCCUGCUUCGGAGCGUGCUAUUGCGUGAAGCGGAAAGGGACAGCGGAAUCUAAGGCCACACCAGACAGGGAAAAGGAGGAUUAGAUAUUUCGUCAACCACCACUUGAGCGCGAUUCGCUUAUCUGUUGAAAAGUACCAU
rnacentral:lncRNA from 1 species